ensembl:snRNA U6 U6 spliceosomal RNA
CUAAAAUUGGAAUGAUACAAAGAAGAUUAGCAUGUUCAAGGAUAACACUGCAAAUUUGUGAAGCCUUCCAUAUUUUU